GGGUUGUGAGGUUAAGCGACUAAGCGUACACGGUGGAUGCCCUGGCAGUCAGAGGCGAUGAAGGACGUGCUAAUCUGCGAUAAGCGUCGGUAAGGUGAUAUGAACCGUUAUAACCGGCGAUUUCCGAAUGGGGAAACCCAGUGUGAUUCGUCACACUAUCAUUAACUGAAUCCAUAGGUUAAUGAGGCGAACCGGGGGAACUGAAACAUCUAAGUACCCCGAGGAAAAGAAAUCAACCGAGAUUCCCCCAGUAGCGGCGAGCGAACGGGGAGGAGCC
rnacentral:rRNA from 1 species